UAGCCUUGUGCCUCUUGGUCCUUUCAUCAGCAUGCUGCCUGAUCUGAGCCACUGUUGGAUUAGCUCUAAGUGGCUCUGGUUCAACAUCAGUGUUGACCACCUCCCACAGAUCGAAAGCCUGCAGGUAGGUCUUCAUUUUGACCACCCAUAUGUGAUAGCCUUCUCCAUUGAAGACUUGAGGUGCAGCUGGUGAAAAGCUUGAUGAAGCCAUGGAUUUGUGUAACAGAUCUCUUAAGAAAU
rnacentral:lncRNA from 1 species